CAUGGAGGGUGAGAAUCCCGUUCAUGGUUAAUCUUAAGGAAGCUCUACGAUACGUUUUCCAAGAGUCGAGUUGUUUGGGAUUGCAGCUCAAAAUGGGAGGUAAAUUUCUCCUAAGGCUAAAUAUUGGCGAGAGACCGAUAGCGAACAAGUACCGUGAGGGAAAGAUGAAAAGAACUUUGAAAAGAGAGUUAAACAGUACGUGAAAUUGUUGAAAGGGAAACGAUUGAAGUCAGUCAUACCAACGGGAAAUCAACCUUUUGAGCUCGGUCUCGUGGGUUUUGAAGAGUUUCAAAGCCUUCGGAUUCGCGGGAUUGGGAUCUCUUGGCGUACUUUUUCGUACGGUUAGUCAACAUCGGUUUUGAAUGUCAUAAAAUGACUGGAGGAAUGUAGCUUCGAUCUCGUAUUGAAGUGUUAUAGCCUUUGGUUGAUGUGAUGUUUGAGACCGAGGAUUGCAACGGAUACCCUUCAGGGCUAUUCGUCUGAUCUCUGAUACGUUGCCUUGAUGUUGAAAGCUUGCUUAUGAUGUUAGGGUAUUACGGUCAAAAGGUUAGAACGAAUUACAUUCGUUAAGGAUGUUGACGUAAUGG
rnacentral:rRNA from 1 species